ACAUGUCUGGAACCGUUGCUGAGAGGCGAGGGUGCCGUCGGGAGCAGAACACAGGUGCUGCAUGGCUGUCGUCAGCUCGUGUCGUGAGAUGUUGGGUUAAGUCCCGCAACGAGCGCAACCCUUGUCAUUAGUUGCCAUCAUUUAGUUGGGCACUCUAAUGAGACUGCCGGUGACAAACCGGAGGAAGGUGGGGAUGACGUCAAGUCCUCAUGGCCCUUAUGGGUAGGGCUUCACACGUCAUACAAUGGUCGGUACAGAGGGUUGCCAAGCCGCGAGGUGGAGCCAAUCCCUUAAAGCCGAUCGUAGUUCGGAUCGUAGUCUGCAACUCGACUACGUGAAGUCGGAAUCGCUAGUAAUCGCAGAUCAGCAUGCUGCGGUCGAAUACGUUCCCGGGCCUU
rnacentral:rRNA from 1 species